rnacentral:rRNA from 1 species
GAUGAACGCUGGCGGCGUGCCUAAUACAUGCAAGUCGAGCGAAUGGAUUAAGAGCUUGCUCUUAUGAAGUUAGCGGCGGACGGGUGAGUAACACGUGGGUAACCUGCCCAUAAGACUGGGAUAACACCGGGAAACCGGGGCUAAUACCGGAUAACAUUUAGAACCGCAUGGUUCGUAAUUGAAAGGCGGCUUCGGCUGUCACUCAUGGAUGGACCCGCGUCGCAUUAGCUAGUUGGUGAGGUAACGGCCCACCAAGGCAACGAUGCGUAGGCGGCCUGAGAGGGUGAUCGGCCACACUGGGACUGAGACACGGCCCAGACUCCUACGGGAGGAAGCAGUAGGGAAUCUUCCGCAAUGGACGAAAGUCUGACGGAGCAACGCCGCGUGAGUGAUGAAGGCUUUCGGGUCGUAAAACUCUGUUGUUAGGGAAGAACAAGUGCUAGUUGAAUAAGCUGGCACCUUGACGGUACCUAACCAGAAAGCCACGGCUAACUACGUGCCAGCCGCCGCCGUAA